rnacentral:rRNA from 1 species
CCCUGCUUCCAGGAAAAGCCUCUAAGCAUCAGGUAACAUCAAAUCGUACCCCAAACCGACACAGGUGGUCAGGUAGAGAAUACCAAGGCGCUUGAGAGAACUCGGGUGAAGGAACUAGGCAAAAUGGUGCCGUAACUUCGGGAGAAGGCACGCUGAUAUGUAGGUGAAGCGACUUGCUCGUGGAGCUGAAAUCAGUCGAAGAUACCAGCUGGCUGCAACUGUUUAUUAAAAACACAGCACUGUGCAAACACGAAAGUGGACGUAUACGGUGUGACGCCUGCCCGGUGCCGGAAGGUUAAUUGAUGGGGUUAGCGGUAACGCGAAGCUCUUGAUCGAAGCCCCGGUAAACGGCGGCCGUAACUAUAACGGUCCUAAGGUAGCGAAAUUCCUUGUCGGGUAAGUUCCGACCUGCACGAAUGGCGUAAUGAUGGCCAGGCUGUCUCCACCCGAGACUCAGUGAAAUUGAACUCGCUGUGAAGAUGCAGUGUACCCGCGGCAAGACGGAAAGACCCCGUGAACCUUUACUAUAGCUUGACACUGAACAUUGAGCCUUGAUGUGUAGGAUAGGUGGGAGGCUUUGAAGUGUGGACGCCAGUCUGCAUGGAGCCGACCUUGAAAUACCACCCUUUAAUGUUUGAUGUUCUAACGUUGGCCCGUAAUCCGGGUUGCGGACAGUGUCUGGUGGGUAGUUUGACUGGGGCGGUCUCCUCCUAAAGAGUAACGGAGGAGCACGAAGGUUGGCUAAUCCUGGUCGGACAUCAGGAGGUUAGUGCAAUGGCAUAAGCCAGCUUGACUGCGAGCGUGACGGCGCGAGCAGGUGCGAAAGCAGGUCAUAGUGAUCCGGUGGUUCUGAAUGGAAGGGCCAUCGCUCAACGGAUAAAAGGUACUCCGGGGAUAACAGGCUGAUACCGCCCAAGAGUUCAUAUCGACGGCGGUGUUUGGCACCUCGAUGUCGGCUCAUCACAUCCUGGGGCUGAAGUAGGUCCCAAGGGUAUGGCUGUUCGCCAUUUAAAGUGGUACGCGAGCUGGGUUUAGAACGUCGUGAGACAGUUCGGUCCCUAUCUGCCGUGGGCGCUGGAGAACUGAGGGGGGCUGCUCCUAGUACGAGAGGACCGGAGUGGACGCAUCACUGGUGUUCGGGUUGUCAUGCCAAUGGCACUGCCCGGUAGCUAAAUGCGGAAGAGAUAAGUGCUGAAAGCAUCUAAGCACGAAACUUGCCCCGAGAUGAGUUCUCCCUGAGACUUAGAGUCUCCUGAAGGAACGUUGAAGACGACGACGUUGAUAGGCCGGGUGUGUAAGCGCAGCGAUGCGUUGAGCUAACCGGUACUAAUGAACCGUGAGGCUUAACCUUACAACGCCGAAG